CCAACUCUCCUCCCACGUUUCGUUCUCGUGAUGACUGUACCGUUGCUGCAGUAACGGGGAUAAGAAGAGGAGGAAGUGACACGAAUGGACGAUCGAGGCGGUUCCUUCGUAGCUGUGAGGAGGAUUUCACAGGCUCUUGAUCGAGGCAACGCGUGCCAUUCAACUUCUGAUAGAGUCUUUGCAUCCCAUGGACAUGAUCUCAUUGUUGAUUUUGAAUUGGAGCUUAAUUAUGGAAGGAUGAUGGAGGUGAUGAGUUCCUGGAACAUGUUUAUGAGCGAUUGGAUGCCUUAGACGCAGCAACUGCAGAAAAACGUGCUGCGGA